AUUUCUUACUUUUUUUUCAAUAAGUAAAUGUGUUACACCGUUGAGAUACUUUGAAUAAACUAAAGUACAUAUAAACUAAAAUAUUAUCUCAAGAUAUCUUUCAAAUUGUUGAGAUGGUUGCUUCAGAUGUUGUUUUUCCGGUACUAAAACAUUGUCUCAAGGUAUCUUUUAAUUUAGGACAAAUUUAUAAUGAAACGAGCCUCAAUUCGGUUUUGGUGAUCUUACUUUACAUCUUUGACGUAUGAAACUUCCACUUUAAUGGAAAAAAUGUAAUUAGAAAUUUUUUGAUAAAAAAGCAGUGUAGAAUAUAUCUAUUUCAAACCAUUUUACAUCUUCAAAGAAAUGCUCUAAUACUACAAAAAAAACUACUAUCUUUUUCAUUUUUUUUUCAAAGGCACGAAAAGAAAACAUUGAUUAUUGUGAUAUUUUACAUCAAUGAAGGCAACUUCACGAUUGGACCUGCAAAGUGGCCAAA
rnacentral:lncRNA from 1 species